rnacentral:rRNA from 1 species
ACUUGGAUAACUGUAGUAAUUCUAGAGCUAAUACAUGAAUAUGUGCUUUGGUUCACGCCAAAUGCGAAUUUAUUAGAUCAAAACCAACCGGUUUCGGCCGUUAAAUUGGUGACUCUGGAUAACUAUUCUGAUCGCAUGACCUUGUGUCGGCGACGUAUCUUUCAAGUGUCUGCCCUAUCAACUUAAGUUGGUGAGUUAGUUGCUCACCAUGGUUAUAACGGGUAACGGAGAAUCAGUGUUCGAUACCGGAGAGGGAGCCUUAGAAACGGCUACCACAUCUAAGGAAGGCAGCAGGCGCGCAAAUUACCCACUCUCAGAUCGAGGAGGUAGUGAAUUUAAAUAGCGAUGAUGAACUCUUAUGAGGCUCGUCAAUCGAAAUGAGUACAAUUUAAAUCCUUUAACGAGUACCAAUUGGAGGGCAAGUCUGGUGCCAGCAGCCGCGGUAAUUCCAGCUCCAAUAGCGAAUAUUAAAUUUGUUGCAGUUAAAAAGCUCGUAGUUGGAUCCAAGGUUAGGCAUGCCUGUCUGUUCUUAGUAGCAUGACUGUGUGUGUCUGCCUUUAUUAGUUGAAUGUUCAUUAUGGUGGUCUUCAUCGACUGCUAUGAUGUGCUCAACACGUUUACCUUGAAAAAAUCAGAGCGAUCAAGGCAGGCCUUCGUGCUUGUAUGUUGUUGCAAGGAAUAAUAGAAUAGGACUUCGGUUCUAUUUUGUUGGUUUUGAGAAUUGAAGUAAUGAACAAUAGAGACAGUCGGGGGCAUUUGUAUGGUGGCGUUAGAGGUGAAAUUCUGAGAUCGUCGCCAGACAAACUACUGCGAAAGCAUUUGCCAAGGAUGUCUUCAUUAAUCAAGAACGAAAGUCAGAGGUUCGAAGACGAUCAGAUACCGUCCUAGUUCUGACCAUAAACGAUGCCGACCUACAAUCGGGGGUGGUUUAUUAUAUUGACCCUCCCGGCUGUCCUCAGGAAACUUUAAGUUGGUUCUGGGGGGAAUAUGGUCUCAAGACUGAAACUUAAAGGAAUUGACGGAAGGGCACCACCAGGAGUGGAGCCUGCGGCUUAAUUUGACCCAACACGGGGAAUCUCACCCGGUCCGGACACUGGUAGGAUGGACAGAUUGAUAGCUCUUUCUUGAUUCAGUGGGUGGUGGUGCAUGGCCGUUCUUAGUUGGUGGAGUGUUUUGUCUGGUUAAUUCCGAUAACGAACGAGACUCUGUCCUGCUAAAUAGUCCAGUGGCAUCAAUCACUAUGUGAUUACAGCUGCUGUUACUUCUUAGAGGGAUUCGCGGAUU